AAGGAAGCAGCAGGCGCGCAAAUUACCCAACCUCCCGGCACGGGGAGGUAGUGACGAAAAAUAACAAUACGGGACUCUUUUGAGACCCCGUAAUUGGAAUGAGUACACUCUAAAUCCUUUAACAAGUAUCUAUUGAAGGGAAAGUCUGGUGCCAGCAGCUGCGGUAACUCCAGCUUCAAUAGCGUAUAUUAAAGUUGUUGCGGUUAAAAAGCUCGUAGUUGGAUCUCAGUUCGCGACGGGCGGUCCGCCUACCGGUGGUUACUGCCUGUUCGCAACACCAGCCGGUUUCUCUAGAUGAUCUUCACCGGUUGUCUUGGGUGACCGGCAAGUUUACUUUGAAAAAAUUAGAGUGCUCAAAGCAGGCGCGACGCCUGAAUAAUGGUGCAUGGAAUAAUGGAAUAGGACCUCGGUUCUAUUUUGUUGGUUUUCGGAACACGAGGUAAUGAUUAAGAGGGACAGACGGGGGCAUUCGUAUUGCGACGCUAGAGGUGAAAUUCUUGGACCGCCGCACGACGAACUACUGCGAAAGCAUUUGCCAAGAAUGUUUCCAUUAAUCAAGAACGAAAGUUAGAGGUUCGAAGGCGAUCAGAUACCGCCCUAGUUCUAACCAUAAACGAUGCCAGCUAGCGAUCCGGCUGUGUUCCUCAAAUGACACGCCGGGCAGCUUCCGGGAACCAAAGCUUUGGGUUCKGGGGAAUAU
rnacentral:rRNA from 1 species